rnacentral:lncRNA from 1 species
CUGCUCCAAAAAUUUAAUGCCAAAGCUUUUGCUUACGAUUCCCCAAACACAUUUUCUUCCUCUCUGGUCAAUUUCCUUCAUUAAAUGCCCUCUCCCCACCUCUAUUUAAUGCCUCCAUUUCUCUCUUCCCCCAAAAAAAACCCAAAAAUCCCAAAACCACCGCUCUCCGGCGAUUCACCUGGCAAGAUCCAAUCAAAAUCCUCCACGUGUCACAUCCACCUCACCUACCACCCCUCUAUUUCACCUCCUGCUGUACCUGUCCGGCGAAAUCAGGGCUUCAGGAUCCCCACACCUGAGCCUGCUCGACGAGAAUACGGAAGACGACGUCGGCCGGAAGAAUCUCGGACUCGUCAUCGACUUACUCCGCCUCGAGUAUCCGCCGCUGCCGUAUCUCUCCGAGAGAGGGAAGAAUCCUCCUCCUCCUGAUGUUCCUCCUCCUGCGCCGCUUCCGCAUACUGAUCUUCGUCUGGAGAAGGGGGACUUGUAGUAGUACCUGAACGACGAGAACAGUC